GCUCAUCUACACCACCAAACCUCUGCCGCUCUUCGCCGUCAGCCCGUCACUCCUCUCCCCCGUCCGGCCGUCCCAACUCCCAAUCGUCGCCGCGCUUCUCCCCGCACGAUUGCCAGAAUCUCUAACGCCCAUGGCCCCCGUCUCCCCCGCGGCCGCCGCCGCCGCGGUCUCGGCCUCUCACCACGGCCGCCACCUCCUCCCGUCGUCCCCGCGCCGCCUCCCCAGGCCCCGCCCGCGCUCUCGUCCGCACCUUCGCCUCGCCGCCUGCCACGCCGACACCCUCCUCCCCUCCUCCUCAUCGGAGGCCCGUGCGGCGCCAGGCCCUGCGGUGGAGCCUUCCUCCGAAUCUGCCACCGACUGCUUCGUCGAUUGGCUGCGCGCGCGCGGCCUUCCCCCGGGCAAAGUGGACAUCCGGGAGCGCCCGGUGCCCUGCUUGCGCGACGGCAAGGACCAGCCGCUGCGCUACGUCUCCGCUGUCGUCGACCUCCAGGCGGGGGAUGUGGCAUUCGAGGUGUCAAUGUCCCUCGUCGUUACGCUUGAGCGGGUGCUCGGGGAUGAAUCAAUCGCUGAGUUGUUAACAAAUAACAAGUUAUCUGAGCUGGCAUGCUUGGCAUUGUAUCUCAUGUAUGAGAAAAAACAAGGAAAGGAUUCAUUUUGGUACCCCUACAUUAAGGAACUUGACCGACAUCGAGGAAGGGGGCAGCUAGCUGUUGAAUCACCACUUUUAUGGACUGAAAGUGAACUGGAUUACCUUACUGGAAGCCCCUUGAAGGAUGAAGUUGUUGCUAGAGAUGAGGCAAUAAGGAGAGAGUAUAAUGAGCUUGACACAUUGUGGUUUAUGGCAGGUUCACUAUUUCAGCAAUAUCCUUUUGACAUACCUACUGAGGCUUUUCCGUUUGAAAUAUUCAAGCAGGCUUUUGUUGCAGUACAGUCUUGUGUGGUUCAUUUGCAGAAAGUUAGUCUAGCUCGAAGGUUCGCGCUUGUUCCCUUGGGACCGCCACUACUGACUUACAGGAGCAACUGCAAAGCGAUGUUGACAGCUGAUGGUGAUUCUGUUCGAUUGGUGGUGGAUCGGCCAUAUAAAGCUGGAGAGCCAAUAAUCAUCUGGUGUGGGCCCCAAACAAACUCCAGGCUUGUUCUGAAUUAUGGUUUUGUUGAUGAAGAUAAUCCCUUUGAUCGUGUAGCAAUUGAGGCAUCUUUAAAUACAGAAGAUCCUCAAUACCAAGAAAAGAGAAUGGUUGCUCAGAGGAAUGGAAAACUUGCUAUCCAAAAUUUUAAUGUCUAUGUAGGUAAAGAGAAACAAACUGUUGCAGAAAUGCUGCCUUAUUUGAGACUAGGUUACAUAUCAAAUCCUGAUGAAAUGCAGUCUAUACUCUCUUCUGAAGGAGAUACAUGUCCAGUUAGUCCAUGUACAGAGCGAGCUGUACUUGAUCAACUUGUUGGUUACCUGGAAUCUCGAUUGGCUGGAUAUCCAACAACUUUGGAUGAAGAUGAAGCUAUGUUGGCAGAUGGCAAUUUGGAACCAAAGAAGGAAGUUGCUACUAGGCUUGUAAGGUUGGAGAAGAAGAUGCUCCAUGCCUGUCUGCAGGCCACAAAUGAGUUUAUAAACGACUUGCCAGACCACACAGUGUCACCUUGCCCUGCUCCAUAUGCCCCUGAAUUGAAAUGAGACCAUAUAUGCUGCAAGGUGGAUAUACUAUUUGAAAGAAUCUGCUGCUUGUUUCCUUUAGAGAUUACAGAUCUUAAUUGCAUGCUAGAAGGAAAUCGCAUUUCUUGCUGUUCGUUCAAGUUAAUAAGGAUAUGAUUGGUCUCCAGCGGGAUAUGGCUAUGGUCUCGAAAGGGAUGUGGUCAUGUUGUAGUUAGUUGCGAUGCACAGAAGGUAUCACUUUUGUUAAUCUAGUUGGUGUUGUAUUAACAACCUCCUUUUGCUGAUAAUCUUGGGCAGGAAUGCCAAUCAACAAUCAUGAUUCAUGUACAUGAUUGCUGACUGAUCACUUUUUUUUUCACGAGAUGGUCAGUAGUUAUUGUUGUAGUUGUCUUUAGGAUUACUUACAGAAACCGAAUUUGGGCAGAACUGGAUUCAAUCGGCCAUGCUGCUAUGCCAGUUUUCAUUCUAGAUUGGGCACUACUCCUUCUGAGGCAUUGUAUGGCUACAGCUAUUUCGGGUUGGAACUUGGAAGCGAAUACAAAGUAGCGUAGAGAAGUUUCUUAGCAUUGAUUUACCCGAUCUGUUAGAGGCUUUUGAGGUGUCUAAAUAGGUAUUUGUAAAAAAAUUGUGGAGUCGUCUUGUCGUAAAGAGACAUCUCUAGCUCGUAACUCAAGUAGUCAAGUAGUAACAGAUCACAGAUGUCUUCACUUCUCUUACUAAUACAUCGUCUGCUAUAUUGAUUCGAUGCUUUAUAGACACA